UACGGAGGGUGCGAGCGUUGUUCGGAAUUAUUGGGCGUAAAGCGCGCGUAGGCGGCUCUUUAAGUCUCACUGUGAAAGACCGGGGCUCAACCCCGUAGUAAGCAGGGGAUACUGGAGGGCUGGAGACAGGGAGAGGCUAGUGGAAUUCCGGGUGUAGCGGUGGAAUGCGUAGAGAUCCGGAAGAACACCGGUGGCGAAGGCGGCAUCCUGGACCGGCAUUGACGCUGAGGCGCGAAAGCUAGGGGAGCAAACGGG
rnacentral:rRNA from 1 species